UACGUAGGGUGCGAGCGUUAAUCGGAAUUACUGGGCGUAAAGCGUGCGUAGGCGGUCCGCAAAGUCUGAUGUGAAAGUCCCGGGCUCAACCUGGGAACUGCAUUGGAAACUAACGGGCUCGAGUGUGGCAGAGGGGGGUAGAAUUCCACGUGUAGCAGUGAAAUGCGUAGAGAUGUGGAGGAACACCGAUGGCGAAGGCAGCCCCCUGGGUCAAGAUUGACGCUCAUGCACGAAAGCGUGGGGAGCAAACAGG
rnacentral:rRNA from 1 species